rnacentral:lncRNA from 1 species
UUUUUGUUUCCUGUUAGUCAUCAUCACACCGGGAUUUAAGAGAACAAGGUCCGCAUUUACCCACACAGGUGACAAUCAGGACCAAUUGCAAGUCUGUCAAUACCAAGUGAAGGUCAAAAGACAUCACGUGAUUAAAGGCUUUGCAGAAAUUUGGAUGGAAAAAUAUGUUGGGGGAAUGGAAUCGUCCCAUCACAAACAAUACCCUUUCUUCAGUUCUUCAAUGUUUUCACCGGGUAUUAGAAGAAAUUCCAUUUGGGGAAUAGACAGAUUCCUGUCUUCCAUUAUGCAAGCAUCUGCAGGAAGCAAAUAUGGCAAAUUAUUAGAGAGAAGGUAGAAGGAAGGAAGAGAGAUGAGGAUGUUGAACUCUCCAGGCCAAGGCCGUCAUGGCAGGAAGGUGUGCAGGUGCACACCUGGAUGUCCUCCAGUUGAGUAAGACUGAAAGACAGACAUUGGGACACUGAAACGGGCUCUCCAGAAAGGCCGCCAACUGGAAAUGCCCAACAGUUAAGAAAAUCACCUGGAUUUGACGUUGAAGUGUUACCUGGAUCUCUGGAGAAACUUUAAAGAAGAUAUUUUUGUUGACCUGAGGUGAAAUGUUUGAGAUGAUGGGCAGAGCAUCUCACGAUUUGGUGUUCAAAUUGUAAGAAACUGCAGUUGUGUUUGGUAAACGUUGCAUUUUAAAGCUGUUCAAAUUAGACUUCGUUGGACUCCUGGAGGUUGAAAGAUAGAGGGGUUCAGUAGAAAGAGCAUGACACAAAAUGACCUGACUUCCAAUGUCACCCUAUCACUUAGUCAACAUCUGACAUUGG